AGUGACAAAGCGAUGAGCCAACUACAAAAUUAACAUCUCGUAAAGGUCGGCAGGAGGAGGUCCCAAUCGCUAGCAAAAACUGCAAGGUCACUGGGACCUGGCGGGUCACCGGGAUGGAGGUGGAGUGCGCUGGGGCUGCAGCCAGGAGGACUGGGUGAUACAGGCGAAGAACGCGGUCCAGGACGAGGUGCGGAAACCCAGGCGUGGGCAGGAAGUGCACCCGGUGUCUCAGGGUGGCAUGGGGACAAGAAGAAGGACUACUUUGCAAUACAGUCGGUGGUGACCACAUUACUCACCAGAUGACCUUGACAACAAAAGGUUGCUGCCACCCAACCAACCAAAAGGAGUCCGCUUACAAAGUGUGGUAAAAGGAAAGACUAUACUCAGGUGAACGGUUUGGCAACUGGACCCAAAAGUAUGGUAGCGAUGAUUUGAAACAACUUCUGAUGAAAGUGAAAGAAGGAAGUGCCAAAGCAGAAUUGCAUUUGAACAUCAAGAAUAUAUGAUUCAUGACUAUGGGAGAAAUACACUGUUACAUAAACAAUGAAGACAUCAAAAUUGUUAAUAUUUUUCUGACCUUGGAUCAAUCAUCAGUUCAAAUGGAGACUGCAGUCAAGAAAUCAAGAGAAAACUGAGACUUGGAAGGGCAGCAGUGGAAGAUUAGGAAAGAUCACCAAAAGCACAGAUGUGUCAUUAGAGACCAAGCUAAGAUUAUCCACAUCCCCAUAUUCCCAAUUACUAUGCAUGGAGUGGAAAAUGAACAGUGAAGAAGACUGAAAGGAAAAAAAUUGAUUUGUUUUCAUUAGGUGUUGGAGGAGAAUUCCACUAAUACCCUGGACCACCAGGAAGAUGAACAAGUGGGGACUAGAGCAAACAAAGCCUGAAACAUCAGUGAAAGAAAAAAAAUGA